rfam:Ictidomys tridecemlineatus contig030951, whole genome shotgun sequence.
AGGGUUGUAGCUCAGUGGUAGAGCACUUGCCUCGCAUGCAUGAGGCCCUGGGUUCAGUCCACAGCACCACAU